rnacentral:rRNA from 1 species
UACGUAGGUGGCAAGCGUUGUUCGGAAUUAUUGGGCGUAAAGGGCGCGUAGGCGGUUUGUUAAGUCGGCUGUGAAAGCCCGGGGCUCAACCCCGGAGGGUCAGCCGAUACUGGCAGGCUAGAGUACGGAAGAGGCGAGUGGAAUUCCUGGUGUAGCGGUGAAAUGCGCAGAUAUCAGGAGGAACACCAAUUGCGAAGGCAGCUCGCUGGGACGUUACUGACGCUGAGACGCGAAAGCGUGGGGAGCAAACAGG